rnacentral:rRNA from 1 species
GGGAUUGCCCUAGUAACGGCGAGUGAAGCGGCAACAGCUCAAAUUUGAAAUCUGGCUUCGGCCCGAGUUGUAAUUUGCAGAGGAAGCUUUAGGCGCGGCACCAUCUGAGUCCCCUGGAACGGGGCGCCAUAGAGGGUGAGAGCCCCGUAUAGAUGGACGCCUAGCCUGUGUAAAGCUCCUUCGACGAGUCGAGUAGUUUGGGAAUGCUGCUCAAAAUGGGAGGUAAAUUUCUUCUAAAGCUAAAUAUUGGCCAGAGACCGAUAGCGCACAAGUAGAGUGAUCGAAAGAUGAAAAGCACUUUGAAAAGAGGGUUAAAUAGCACGUGAAAUUGUUGAAAGGGAAGCGCUUGUGACCAGACUUGCGCCGGGCGGAUCAUCCGGUGUUCUCACCGGUGCACUCCGCCCGGCUCAGGCCAGCAUCGGUUCUCGCGGGGGGAUAAAGGCCCUGGGAACGUAGCUCCUCCGGGAGUGUUAUAGCCCGGGGCGUAAUGCCCUCGCGGGGACCGAGGACCGCGCAUCUGCAAGGAUGCUGGCGUAAUGGUCAUCAGCGACCCGUCUUGAAACACGGACCAAGGAGUCAAGGUUUUGCGCGAGUGUUUGGGUGUAAAACCCGCACGCGUAAUGAAAGUGAACGUAGGUGAGAGCUUCGGCGCAUCAUCGACCGAUCCUGAUGUUUUCGGAUGGAUUUGAGUAGGAGCGUUAAGCCUUGGACCCGAAAGAUGGUGAACUAUGCUUGGAUAGGGUGAAGCCAGAGGAAACUCUGGUGGAGGCUCGCAGCGGUUCUGACGUGCAAAUCGAUCGUCAAAUCUGAGCAUGGGGCGAAAGACUAAU